rnacentral:rRNA from 1 species
GAUGAACGCUGGCGGCUUGCCUAAUACAUGCAAGUCGAGCGAACAGACGAGGAGCUUGCUCCUCUGACGUUAGCGGCGGACGGGUGAGUAACACGUGGAUAACCUACCUAUAAGACUGGGAUAACUUCGGGAAACCGGAGCUAAUACCGGAUAAUAUAUUGAACCGCAUGGUUCAAUAGUGAAAGACGGUUUUGCUGUCACUUAUAGAUGGAUCCGCGCCGCAUUAGCUAGUUGGUAAGGUAACGGCUUACCAAGGCUACGAUGCGUAGCCGACCUGAGAGGGUGAUCGGCCACACUGGAACUGAGACACGGUCCAGACUCCUACGGGAGGCAGCAGUAGGGAAUCUUCCGCAAUGGGCGAAAGCCUGACGGAGCAACGCCGCGUGAGUGAUGAAGGUCUUCGGAUCGUAAAACUCUGUUAUUAGGGAAGAACAAAUGUGUAAGUAACUAUGCACGUCUUGACGGUACCUAAUCAGAAAGCCACGGCUAACUACGUG